UAGGGAAUCUUCCGCAAUGGACGCAAGUCUGACGGAGCAACGCCGCGUGAGUGAAGAAGGAUUUCGGUUCGUAAAACUCUGUUGUUAGAGAAGAACAGCGCAUAGAGUAACUGUUAUGCGUGUGACGGUAUCUAACCAGAAAGCCACGGCUAACUACGUGCCAGCAGCCGCGGUAAUACGUAGGUGGCAAGCGUUGUCCGGAUUUAUUGGGCGUAAAGCGAGCGCAGGCGGUCAAUUAAGUCUGAUGUGAAAGCCCCCGGCUCAACCGGGGAGGGUCAUUGGAAACUGGUUGACUUGAGUGCAGAAGAGGAGAGUGGAAUUCCAUGUGUAGCGGUGAAAUGCGUAGAUAUAUGGAGGAACACCAGUGGCGAAGGCGACUCUCUGGUCUGUAACUGACGCUGAGGCUCGAAGGCGUGGGUGGCAAACAGG
rnacentral:rRNA from 1 species